GAUGAACGCUGGCGGCGUGCCUAAUACAUGCAAGUCGAGCGAACGGACGAGAAGCUUGCUUCUCUGAUGUUAGCGGCGGACGGGUGAGUAACACGUGGAUAACCUACCUAUAAGACUGGGAUAACUUCGGGAAACCGGAGCUAAUACCGGAUAAUAUUUUGAACCGCAUGGUUCAAAAGUGAAAGACGGUCUUGCUGUCACUUAUAGAUGGAUCCGCGCUGCAUUAGCUAGUUGGUAAGGUAACGGCUUACCAAGGCAACGAUGCAUAGCCGACCUGAGAGAGUGAUCGGCCACACUAGAACUGAGACACGGACCAGACUCCUAAGGGAGGCAGCAGUAGGGAAUCUUCGGCAAUGGGCGAAAGCCUGACGGAGCAACGCCGCGUGAGUGAUGAAGGUCUUCGGAUCGUAAAACUCUGUUAUUAGGGAAGAACAUAUGUGUAAGUAACUGUGCACAUCUUGACGGUACCUAAUCAGAAAGCCACGGCUAACUACGUG
rnacentral:rRNA from 1 species